GACCGAGGAGCCAAGCGUUGUCCGGAUUGACUGGGCGUAAAGCGCACGCAGGCGGCUGUGCACGUGGGGUGUGAAAGCUGGCGGCUUAACUGCCAGACGCCACCUCAUACGGCACGGCUCGAGCCCGUGAGAGGUCCACGGAAUUGCCGGUGUAGUGGUGAAAUGCGUAGAGAUCGGCAGGAACACCCAGGGGGAAACCAGUGGACUGGCACGGUGCUGACGCUCAGGUGCGAAAGCGUGGGGAGCGAACCGG
rnacentral:rRNA from 1 species